CGAAUUUACAAGAGAAAGGAAGAAUGAGCUUAAAAGAUGGAAAGAAGGGGAUGGGGGACGAACGAGAGGAUAGCGGUCGGGAGUGGCGAGAGACGCGGAGUGUCGGCAAGGGGAUGGUGGAAGUGCGCGCGGGAAGGCUCCGUGAAGGAAAAGGGGGUGGUGAGGGGUACACGGCCGGUGGGUCGUUAUUUUUGUGCCUGCUUCGUCUUUAAUUUCUCCCCACCUUUUGCGCGCCGCGGCGCUGACGCCGCGCCGCUCUACUCCGCGCCACGCCGCGCCGCUCCGCGCCACACCGCGCCGCGCCACGCCGCGCCGCGACGCCGGGCAGAGGAGCCGUGGCGCGCUGGUUGGUGUGCGGUUGUCUUAGUUCGUAUGCAUAUCUCAGUGCCUCACAUAUUGAUUCAGGGCGUCAUUACGCGUCUUAGCUCGGCCCACUCCCACCACUCUCCCUCUCUCUUCCUCCCUCUCCCUCUCCCCCCCUCUCUCUCUCUCUCUCGCUCUCUGCUUAAACCACCUCCGCCACCCUCUUCCAGUUCUCGCCAGCCUUGGCCCCUCGCACCCCCGUCCCCUUGUCCUCGGCCCUCCACCACCUUCUUCACCUCCAGCCACCAUCGUCCUUCUGUGGCUCUCCUUCGCCGACCCAACCACCCCAUCUACUCUGCACGAACCUUUACUACCCCCCAGCUGGAAGAAUCUUCUUGCAGACCGGUCCUUCCAUAUCCCUCUCUUCCUCUUCCUCCUCCUCCUCCUCCUCCUCCCCUUCCCAACCCGUCUUUCUAACUCAAGCGACACGCAAGUCUCGUCAUUCUUUCCCUUUCUAUCCCUCCCCCUCUCCCCAUAGUUUCGUGCUUAGAGCCGCGUGUGUGCUCGCGAGCGUGUUUGCUGGGGGACACGUGGGGCCGCGGCGCGUAUAUUCGCGUGUGUCGUCGUCUCUCGUUCGCAAACUCGCAUAAUCGAUACGAGAUUAAUUUUGAUCGCGGCGAAUGCUUUGUUUCUUAGCGACGAAGAAGUUGCCCCGAAGGCUCAUAUUUUCAUAGUUUCGUAGGCGCUUACAGCAUAGGAAUUUACUUCAUUUGUACAACAAACGUAACCGAUUACAUUACGGCGUCGGUGAUGCCAUCUGACGUGUGAACGAUUGAUUAUUAUGCGACGUUCGUUAGAUUUGCUGAUGCUGUGCAAUCGGUCAGCAAUUACGUGGGAUAGCGCGGGUCGCGUUUAUGCGCACUUUACACGCACGUAUACGUAGGUACGCAACGCAGGGAUCAAAAAGGCUCGUCGCGUAAGUGAAAGUCCACGUCGUCGUCCCUGCGGAGUGUGUAUCGAAACGAGUCUAAAAUGUUCGUCCGAUUGGUUUACGUUCGCGCGUUCGACAAAUGGGCUCACUGUCUCCAAUUGUUAAUAUGCAACCGUAGCGAGGCGAAUCUGUGUUGUGUCACUAUAUUAUACGUUCCACACCACACAUCAUGAUAGUUUAAUUGAACUAUCGGUCUUUUGUAAUCUAUGUUUUUGUUGACAUUUUUUGUUCGCAUUUUUUUAAAUUUAAAAUUUUGUUAAUGAUUUAAAAUUAUUGUUUUAUAAGAUUUUAUCAUAUUUUUCUUAUAAGAUAAUGGAUUUUUCUUAUAAAAAAUGGAUUUUUUACUCUCUUUGCAAAGUAACGUAUUUUUCAUUGUUUAUUGUUUGUCAGACCAACUAACAAAAAGUCAUUAGCAAGUAAUUGUAAUUUUUAAAGAGUUUUUGGGUUUAUAAAAUUUCUAAUAUAAAUAUUAUAAUAGUUUUUCAACACUUAAGAAUAUGAUUAUAUGAUUCGAAAUGUUUCUUACUUUUUUGGACAUGAAGUGAAAACAGAAUCAGCAAACUAAAAAGAAAGAAAACUAUUUGAAAUAAUCUUAGUUGAUCUGCAGAAAAUUAAAGUUGACCUCUAUUAACACAUUUUAUUUAGCUUUAUUUAAUACUAUGAGAAAACUAAGAAACGUAGUUAUGUAAAUAAUGCGUUAAAGGAUUAAUUGUAAUCAUGUGUAACCAUAUUAUAAUAUACAGUAUAAUAGAUCUCUUAUUAGCAUAAAAGCGCGAUAUUAGCAUAUCCUCAAUGUAAGUUAAAUCAAGUCUAGAUGAUAAAUUGUGCCAAUAAGAAUUGAGAACCAAUUGUAAUUGAGUUAUUUAAAAUAUAUUAAAUUUUUAUACUUUGCUUUAUAAAACAUUAAAAUAAAUGUCUUUUAAUCAUUAAUAAGUACUAUGACAUUAAACGAAUUUUUCUGCAAAGAUAUGCAAUUAUUUGAAAUGUUAACAAUUUUUAAACUUCUAAAAAAACUAUAAAAAAUUAAACAUUAUAAUCUGUAUAAUG